rnacentral:piRNA from 2 species
UGCAAAAAGAAUGUCGCUCAACGA